rnacentral:ncRNA from 2 species
UAUACGAGCCAGGGGUGCAAAAUUGCUGAGAAGGGCAUAAGCCUGAUCCCUUAUCAUCUGAACUGGGUAAUGCCAGCGUAGAGAGAGCAAAUUUAAAAUUGU